UUAAUGUCUCUGUGUAGUGUUUGCCUGCAGUUACUACAACUGCUGGUUUAAUAGGAAGGAUUAUAGUUAUACCUUUGUAAUCAUUACAUUUUCGGACUGAUGUUACAGGUUAUUGAGUAGCUGUUAUUAUUUAAAACACUUCGUAUUGUUCCAAUUUACUGAUAGAUGAAGCACUCUAUCUCUAUUUGAGUGGAUUAACAGGUUUCGUACGCCAUGUUUAUUAAUUGUAUGAAAUGUUAACACAGAAAUUGGGUACGGCAGGAAACUUCACUUCCAUAAAGAAAAGAGAAGAAACGAUUUUCUAAUUUAAUUUUGCAUUCGUCACAAUCAAGAUUAGAAAUUAUAAAGAAAAAGUAAUAAAAAAUAUUUAAGUGGUGUCUUAACUUCAAAACAGCUCAAUUAUUUGCAGAUAUUUAUUAAGAUUUGAAACGUUUUCUUUCUGAAUGCUAAGACCAAUAAUGGAUUUUGGUCGUUAGAACUUAAUUUGUAGUUUUAAGAGAAGUUUAAGCCAUUUUUUGACAACUAAAGAAGUGAAAACUAUAGAAAGGAAAGAGACUGAAAGUGAGGGGAAAGAGAGAGAGAAAGAGAAACACAG